rnacentral:rRNA from 1 species
GUCUUUAAAAUUAAAAAAUUUGGCGGUAUUUUAGUCUGUUCAGAGGAACCUGUUUCUUGAUUGAUAGUCCACGAUUAUUUUUACUUUAACUUUAAAUUUGUAUAUCGUCGUUUAUAAAAAUUUUAUUAUUAAAUUUUUUCAGAUCAAGGUGUAGUUUAUGUUAAAGUUGAAAUGGGUUACAUUGGGAAUUUUAAUGAAAUUGGAUUUGAUAGUAAGCUCUAAAAUAUGCACAUAUCGCCCGUCGCUUUCGCUUUAAGGUGGAAUAAGUCGUAACAAAGUAGGCUUAUUGGAAAAUGGGCCUGGAAUGCGGAUUAGAGCUUGGUAAGCACUUUAUUUACAUUAAAGGGUUAAUUGUGAAAUUCAAUUUAAUUUGAUUGAAAUAGGUUAAUUGUUUUUAGUUUUGGUUAAAUUUAAAAUAAAAAUUUUUAUGUUUAAUUGUUUUUUUGAAAUAAUUUUUAUAGAUUAAAGUAUUGUGAGAGAAUUUUUUUUUAUUUUUUAAAGAAAAUUUUUUUUAUUGUACCUUGUGUAUCAGGGUUGAUUUAUUUAGUUUUCCCGAAUUUAGAAGGGCUAUUUUUAAUGUUGAAUAAUUAUUUAAAAUUCUUUUAUAGUAAUGAAAUAUUAUUCGUUUUUAAAUAUAUCUGGUUUUCAAGGAAAUGAAUUGAAUUUAGGAGAUUUUUCAUGGAUUUUAUAAGGGAUAAGCUUUUAAUUAAAUAUUUAUAAUUUUUUUUUAUUUAAUUUUUUAUAGGAUUAGAAUUUUCCAUUAAUUGAAGGAUGUUAUAAUUAAUUAAGUUUUUACUUGGAUUUGAAUUUUAAUUUUUAAUGUUUUGUAAUAAUGAUUAAAUUAGUMAAGUUGACUUAAGGAAUUCGGCAAAUUAGAUUUUCACCUGUUUAAUAAAAACAUGUCUUUUUGAUUUUGAUUGAAGGUCUGGCCUGCCCAAUGAUUAAAUGGCCGCAGUAUAUUGACUGUGCAAAGGUAGCAUAAUCAUUAGUUUCUUAAUUAGAAGCUGGAAUGAAAGGUUUGAUGAGAAAUCAACUGUCUCUUGAAUUUUAUUUUUGAGUUAAAAAGCUUAAAUUUUGUAUAGGGACGAGAAGACCC